ensembl:lncRNA
CUCACCGAGCACUAAUCAUACAUGAUGGCCUCUCUGAGCUAACCCUGAGCCCAUGGCACUGAUGGCUUUGGACAGAAUAACUAGCACAGCAAUAAACAUCCAUCUGGCUAUAUAAAAUGGAACUAGAAACAAUAAUAUAAGCGUGCUAUUUAAAAAGUAACGCAGAGUCCUUUCACUCCGUGGAGUUCUCUGGCUUCCUAAGCAAAUGGACGGAUUAUAACAAGCCAUUGUGUAUUCUUUUCUGUUUGUCAGUGACCUAGUUCCAGUACUGUCUGCGAUACUUGAAUGAGAAACUAAAGCUUGGGGGUAGAUCUUCAGCAGGAGUAACUCACCCUGCUCACUGUACAACACAUCGUGGGCACAAAGCGUCUUCCAGGGAAUACGCAGCACUCAGAAAGGUUCAUUCCUCAGCCUGAACAAAGUGAGGAAGAAAGAUGCCUUGCAACAUCAGCAAACAGGGCACAUUUCCCUCUACAGGAUGGGAGCUGGUCAACUCCAUAUUCCUCAGAAGUUUGAGAUCAGGUUCUUCACGUGCCUAAUUUGGACUUAAUUCAAGGCUGGGAUAAAUCAUUACAACUCAGAUGAAGUCAGUAAGAGCACAGCGACUUACAUCAGCUCUGUGUCAGUAAAUACUGACAAAAUUGAUCUCAAACUUUUUCAGAACAAAAGAUUUUUGAAGAUGGAUUAAACAACAUAAAUGCUGAGCUGUUUUGCUAGACUGCAAAUGGCAUAACACAUGCUUUGUGUGACAUCUCUGAAUUAUUCCUUCGUGGCAAUGUUGACAUUAUAUGGUAUUGACUCAUGGAAGAAGCUUAAAUACCCUUUUAAGUUUUCAAGACUCUUUGACAAAGCACUAUUUCAUUAACAAAAUGUUAAUGGAAUCUGUGAAGCCUGAAUAUACAGCAUAGCCUGCUGGUUUCAAGAAGCUGCAUUCACUGACCUAGAGGAGUGACUGCCAUAGAGCACUACAACCUCUAUUUUUAGAAUGCACCUUGUGCAGGACACCCAUGGGCUGAGUAAGGAGAACGUGAGCUUCCGUUACUUCCCCCAUCGAACAGGAUUAUCACACCUUCUGCUGGAGAAGGUCAAAACAGCACUGACAUGGGAAAUGGAUAAUAUAAGGUAAAGCAGGAGGGACAGCAGGGUUGGCAUUGACUUGAAGCUAAGGCUUCUUGCUUGGGACAAGGAGGAAGACCUAGAGAGCACCACUUUGCAUAAUGCAUACUCUGAAGUCAUCUUUGGGAAAGGAGCAGUGAUGUGCCUACAGCUAAAGCUGUUGGCCCUUAGUACUCUGCUGACCCUCAAAUAACUACAGGUUUUUCUAUCUGACAUGCCUAUUGCUCAAAACAGAUCCCAGUUUCCACAUUCUUGAUCCAAUCCAAAGCAGGAACCCAAGAGUGAGACCAGGGCAGACCAAGGCAACACCCAAAUGCUGCACUGCUGCAUGUUUGAAGGAGGUUGGCCCUUCCCUGGUUUUCUACAAGAGGGCAAUAAAUGCAACAAAACUCAACCCUGGAAAAACAGCAGCUUUUUUCAGACAUGUUUUCCAAUGGAGGAACAGAUUUUUUAUCAUCAGCCACCCACAACAUUUUUUUUUUUUUGAAUCAAUAAACUUGUAACUGUUUAUAAUACAUGGUGCUGGUGACUGUGACAUGCUCACAAUGCAUAUUCAACUUUUAACUCUGUGAAUUUAUCACUUGUAAGUUCUUUGCAUGAACAGCGACAGAGCUUUUCAAUGGCAAAAUUCACCCACACGCUGAAAAGUCAACUUCCUAAAGCCAAUCAUGUCUGCUGUUUUCUGUGUCUGUUACUACUUUACAUAACGUGUUGUUAUGAACAGAUGAGACCAGAAUGGAGGGACAUGGAAAUACUAAACGUCCGUCCGCUCACUGUCUUCUGCAUUGGGUGGCAUUUGGUGUGCCAUCAGAAUCUACAUUUCCUCCUGAACAGUCCAUUUUUCACAUGGAUUUGCGUAAGGUAACCAGGGGAAGAAAAUCACAAGUUAGAAAUUUAAUGAGAAAAACAGCACAUAAACACAAAAAUUGACUGAGGUACCCAAGGGCCACCUUGCAGCCUCAAACUGUGCUUGCACACAAGUCGUCUUUCCAAAUGCCUUGCUCACAAGCACAGAGCAGAGGAAGGCUGCACCACCUGGAGCAUGCUCAGCUGCAUUGCACUGACCCAAGGGAGCACUGCCAGUCCCUGCAAACAGGAUUAGUUCAAGCACAAGGCAAUUCCAACUUUCAGUUCACCACCACUAAAUAGAGGAUAAACUUGCCUGCAGCACAGCAGCACAGACAAAGCAGCACUGUAGACUGUCCUGCAAACGUGGCCGUUAGAGGACAAUCAGCUGGGAGACAUUCCUCAAGAUUUCAGUGCAAUUGUGUUAGAAAUAAAAGACAGAAGCUCUUCAAAAAUAAGCAAAUAAAGUCCUGAAUGGUUGCUACAGUAAUGAUGGACAUGCCAGAAUCAGCCCAGUUUAAUCUCAGCACAAAAUGAAUGCGGCACGUGAGCAGAGAAUCCAGGUGAGCUUUCAGGGCUUGGUAUUCCUACAUGUAUGGAAAUACAAUAACCUAAUAAAAGCAAAAGGAAGAUCACACAGACCAUCUCUCAAAGGUUUCGUGGAGAAUAUUGUAACUUUUGGUAUAUAACAGAGUAAAGGACAUACAGAAGAAUCAAAAUUCAAGGGAAUUGCAGAAAGAAGGAUUUUUCCAUCUUGACAGCAAAGUAUUGCACUCUGUUAAGAACAAAGUUCAGUGUGAUCUCGCUGGGGCCACAAAUGUUCCAGAUGAAUUAACAGAAGUCCAUUGAUCUGCAGGACCAAGCAGGAUGUAUACUGGCUGAAGAUCUGCCCCAUGAGGCUUGUAUCCCACUGCCAAGAAGCCAUCUCCCACCCUACAGAUAGCAUUGGUCAAAACCCGCUGUGAAUAACCACUUUAUAAUGCAAGACACUUACUAUGCAGUGGGUCACUGGUAGCAGAGUUGAAAAAGGGACAUUCAGAUCUGCAAUCACAAGCCUCUAUAGUCAGCACUAAAAAAAUUAGCUCUGUCUCAAAGGCUCUUGUAGACCCAGGAGGAUUAACACCAGUAUUCAAAGAACAGAAUGCUGCGGUAGGUUAGCAAGGGUUAAGGAAAACCAAAGACCUUGAUAUCUUGCAAAUCUACAUGCAUACUGCACAAAAGUUUUCCCCCUCUCAUACUCAAGAUUGCAUUUGUCACACUUUUAGAAAAACCUUUAAUGGAAAUCUCAGAUAUGCUCUGAUAAAGCCAUAAAUAGAAACAACAAGCUCAGGGAAAACAUGCAUCCCAUACUGACCAUCAUUUUCCAUUUUCCUGCUUUUGAGCAAGACUGCAACAGUGCAAAGACCCAAGGACAACUGGAAGACAGAAGCUCACCAGAACAGGCAUCUCUCCUUUAGAUCUCCACUUCCCUACAGUUACAUAGGUUUCUAGUGCUCUGACAACUCAGUAUAGUUACAGCCACAUUUUAACUCAGCUGCCAUGCUCACACCACCACCAGACACACCUCCCACCAGCUGCUCUUCAAUGAGGGCACUUAUUACUCCAGGAGAAAAUCACCUGUGUAGUAUCAGACUGCUGUUUUUCUUGAGGUUGAAUAGAGGACGGAUGGAGCUGUGGGACAUUUGAUAUCAGCAGAAGACUUUCAUGCAGCAGUCAGCAGACACACCCCAGCACACAUGCAUGCAUGCAGCAGACCUAGCAUGAGAAUCCCAAAAAUAAUUGCAGCUGUAUUCCUCUUCUCAACCUGAGAAAAGUGACCUUAACAAGGCUAUCAUGGAGCUCUCCUGAGGGUGCUUUACACAGUGGAAGGGAACAUGGCUGUGGACUUGUGUGCCUGGAAGCACAAGGGAGAUGUGCAGGAGCCAGCCAUGAUCACUGUAGUGAUGGUGCCCAGUGUAGUAAGAUAUCCAAACUCUUUAAUAAGGCUUUCAGUAGCACAUUCCUUUGAAGUCCUUCAGAGCAUGACAGCAAUUAACUGAAGACUCAUCUUCCCUCAUGUUGUUUUAUCCACUCUCACUCGAGAUCAACACUUCCUCUGAUGGUAGUGCAAAUUCACACCCCCCAGCUACAAGGAGCUUGCAAAACGACCCGGUUACAAUUACAGACACAAUGAGCAGUACCUUCGGUGUUUCUGGGCUCAUUCUGAUUGUUUCUCAUGGCCUCCAUUUUGCAGAUGUAAGACAGUAGGGCAAUCCACCACUGAGUGCAUCCAGCUAAAAAAACUAGCUGCAAUAGGAUUUUCUCCACCUUGAGAGAAAUAAGGAGACAGCGAGCAGCAGAUAGGCAACAGGGAAGCAUUAAUCCAAAAGUGCUCUUGGAAGAAAGUUUUUCAAGGUUUUCUGUUUACUUGUUCCUGUUGUGGUUUUUUUUGUCGUUUGUUUUGGGUUUUUUUGGUUGUUUUUUGUUUGUUUGUUUUGGGUAUUGUUUUGAAAGUGAGCAAGGAUGAGGAUAAAAGAGAACUAAUUCCUCACUAAAGGGCCUCCUACAGCCCAAGCAUGGCGGCCUGCUGGCUGCGGCACAGCGCCGUAACCUCUGCACGCAGCCACUUGAACAGGGUUCAAGGCAAUGACUUCACAUGGAGGCAGAGUGCGAAUGGCUUUAAACCACCGAAGCAGUGAUAUAAAAUUGCGGUGUGGCAGCAGGGGGGGCCCUGCAGCCUCACAGCGGGGAGAAGGGGUCUGGGAACAGCCCUCCACAGGGGCAGGCAGAUGUCAGAGGGAAAACAAAAGAGGAUCCGAAGCCUUCUCCUCUGAGCAUCACCUGCAUCCACACAUCGCUCUGUCGGCCACCUCCAGAGCCCUGAGGGCGCAGCAGUUCACCCCUCAGAAGUGAAAAGGAAGGGAUAAAGAGCAGCAACCCGGAAUUUCUGUUCUGUGAGAAAUUCCUGUAUUCCGACAGUCUCUUUGUGCAGGAGGGAAAUGGGAUCUUAAAGGGUUCUUGUAAAACUGAAGUGGUGAGGACACGUUAUCAAAAUGUUCCAUUUUAAUGACGCGCUGUGUUGUAGUCUGAGGGCAUUAAAACAAUCCAAACGUAACAAAACAUAAAGCAAAGCAUGUAACAAACAUGAGAACCACGCCACAAACGCAAAGUAGGAGCCUGAGCAAAUUAAAACAUAUCAGCAUCCUCAAAACCAAACAGUUCAGCAUUACACCAGCAAGGAUGAAAGUCAAAUGAGUCGCUGGAACGCGCUGUGUCUUAAAGUGGAGCGACCAACAGUAUUCCUACGGAAAACUCCAUUUCCAUUCACACUGCACUGAGCUGUUUGAACAUGUUGUGACUGCCAGCACUCAGGAUAUUGCUGCCACCACGACCUCCCCUGCCAAGGUGAUGCAGCGAGCAGCACAGCGCUACUCCUCCUGACGGAAGGAAACCCUAAGAUCUAUAUUUUCUAUAAAAUUGCCUUAUUUCUCAGCCAAGAUACUAUAAGCAGAGGUAAAGCGAAGCUAUUGCUACUGAGACCUCCUUACUGUAAGAAAACAUACCGCAGUGCAUUUACUGAUAUGCUAUGAAAUCACAUAAAUCAUUCUGACAACAUGAUACUUGUCAAAAUAAAGGCAUAAAAUAUGGUUUGAAAUAAAAUAUCCUCAGUCCUGUUUAUUCAUUUGCUUACUCAUGCUGUUUGGCUUUUCUCAAUGGGUUCCCCAAUCGUUGGGGUGAAUUAGUGAGGUUCUGCUGGAAAUACCAAACCACGUGCAUAUUCACAGUCUUAUACACGCUGAAUAUCUGCAUAUAGCUCUGUACAGUCAUUCAACUGAACUGAAAAUAAAGCAUUCAAAGGACACUUUUCCUGUAAUAUUUUUUUCUCUUCCAGUAUUUUUCCCCUCCCCCCUCAAUAUUUCACUAGUGCUUAACGGUGGCAUGGUUUAAGGGAGUCCUGCAUGGAAAGCUCCUUCAGCUGCUUAGCCCAACAGCAUAAAUUUGAUCUCGUAAUUAGUAUUCAGCUCAGCAUCUUGGAUAGAAACCAAUGUUACAGCCAAGAGGUGGUUUAAAUCACAUAAAUCAUAGAUCAAUGACAGAACUCUAAGCACUGGAUAGAUUACAAAAGUAAGCUUUAGUUAAAAAUAGAUUAACCAUUUCCCUGCAGGAAUUCCUUCAAAAAAGCCCUGAAUAUAAAACAAAUAAAAUUAAAUCUGAUAAUUUUUUUCUAAUGUAUGCAUAUACUAGAUGAAUUGUUCUUUCCCUUGACAGUUACACACUGAUUAAAGAAAUGUGUUAACAUGCUAUUUCAAUGGAAAAUAUUGUAAGUUGUGGAGACUUUAAUUUUUUUAAUGAGGUUUUAAUAGCCAGAAAGAACAUACCAGAAAUGUUGUGCACAGCUAGGUUGGUAGCAAACGUCACAGCAGCUAGCAGAUACUUCUUCAGUUGCUAUUUUUAUAGAAAGGGGUAAAAAUCCUUCUUACGCAAAGAAAAAUGUUUUUGAGAGGUGUUUUUAAAGUGUUUUAUGUUUUUAAUUUUAGCUAAUGAAGUGUCCAGUUCUGAGAAGUAUCACAAGCUGUCUGCUGCCAAUGUAAGCACCCAUUGGGGUACUCGGCGUCCUGAAGGGUUGCACCCAAGGUCCCCAAAUUGUUACCAGUUCAGCGGGACAGAAGAUGAGGGGUUGAAACUCUUUCCUUUGACUGAGGAUGGAAGGAGGUGCUGAUGCUGGAAUCAAAUUCUCACCUGAUGUAUACCGGCUUUACAACAAAUAGGAGUGCACAGAUUAAAAGCAUUUUCUAGCUCCUAUGUAUUUUAGCGUGUUUUCAUAUUGAGAGGUCAGACAUCACGCCAUUGUUCAAAAGAAAAAUAAAAACAAAAAACUUUUAACCCUAUCAAGGAGAAUUUGCAUGUCUAUUUUGUUAGUUGCAGAACUGAACAGUAUUAAGAGCACCUCAGCCACUCCUCAGGAAGGAGAACUGCACAAUUCUGAGCCACUGCAGCUGGAAUAAUGUACUUGAAUUCCUCCCAUUGACUGGCAGGCACACAGAAGGCAGAGAGCCCUUUAAACACACACACACACACACACACACACACACACACGCUCACAAUUCGAGGCAGUUCAAGCAACAUCAAACAGAUGAAAGCAGCCUGAACAUCAGGCCUCCAAUCCUGCCACCUCACACGCUCUGCUUACACUAUUUAAAUGCAGCUUAACAUUAGUUAGAAAAUGAUCAAACAAGCUGAUUGAAACUCAAAAUUUCCUAGCCCUGGAUUAACAAAUUUUGAUCAGAUGGAGAACUGGAAAUACUGGAAUUCGCCCUGAUAAAAAGUUGCACAGUUUUUGAAUUGAUAGCUGCUAUAGCCAUAACAUGAUUAAUAAAAAUCUUCCUGAACAUUAAUACUUGCUUCUAACUUCCUACAAAACACAAAAACAGGAAUGUAAUUGUUAGUCAUAUCUAGAAUUCUUAAAAUAAAUAAUAGUGCUUUCAUAUGCCUUACAUUUGUUUUCGAAUACUCAGAUGCACCAAGAAGAGCGUUUUUAAACUUUUAGUGCUUUAUGGAAAUUACAGCUUUCAAUUUCCUAAGGCUUGUUUCACCGUAAGAAGAAAUAAAAAAGCAAGCUGCUUGAUGGCUAUUUGAGGAACAACGUUCAAAACUGGCACCCUGUGUGAUAGAAGACUGCAAUAUAUGCAAUCAAGAGAUAGAUUCAAACAAUAAUAACUAGCUCAGGCUCCAGGGCAUAGCAGAAUGUGUCAUUUACUACAGACCUGAGCCUUUAAACAUCAGUCCUGUGAACAGUCCGGUGGAAAAUAGAUGGCACUGCUCACAUAAGUACAGACUGCUCAUACAGGGAAGUUUUCAAAGGCUCUGCAUUUUCUAAGGGGCUGAAAAAUGCAUAUUGAGUUUAGUAAAACUACAGAAAAAAAGAUCUCUUGUAACAAGCCAAAUUGUCAGUGAGAUGUCAGGGUUAAU